AUUGAACGCUGGCGGCAUGCCUUACACAUGCAAGUCGAACGGCAGCACGGGGCAACCUGGUGGCGAGUGGCGAACGGGUGAGUAAUGCAUCGGAACGUACCUUUCAGUGGGGGAUAACGUAGCGAAAGUUACGCUAAUACCGCAUAUUCUGUGAGCAGGAAAGCAGGGGAUCGCAAGACCUUGCGCUGAUUGAGCGGCCGAUGUCAGAUUAGCUAGUUGGUGAGGUAAAGGCUCACCAAGGCGACGAUCUGUAGCGGGACUGAGAGGAUGAUCCGCCACACUGGAACUGAGACACGGUCCAGACUCCUACGGGAGGCAGCAGUGGGGAAUUUUGGACAAUGGGGGCAACCCUGAUCCAGCCAUGCCGCGUGAGUGAAGAAGGCCUUCGGGUUGUAAAGCUCUUUCGGCCGGGAAGAAAUCGCACGGGCUAAUACCCUGUGUGGAUAACGGUACCGGAAUAAGAAGCACCGGCUAACUACGUGCCAGCCGCCGCGGUAA
rnacentral:rRNA from 1 species